rnacentral:rRNA from 1 species
GUAGAUGCUAGUCUCUGAGAUUAAGCCAUGCAUGUCUGUGUAGCAAGGACGAACAGCUCAGUAGAACUGCGAUGAUUUACUCUGGCCGGCGCGAUAACCACGUGAAAAUGUGGCUAAGAGGGGGCAGAAUAAGACGUAGGACUAUCAGUUAGUUGGUAGUGUAAUGGACUACCAAGACGGUAACGGUUGACGGGGAAUUAGGGUUCUAUGCCGGAGAGGGAGCCUGAGAGAUUGCUCCCACGUCCAAGGACGGCAGCAGGCGCGAAAUUGCCCACUGUUUGUAGGAGCAGUUAUGAGACGUGAGAGCGAGUGCUUGGCAAAGAGAAGCGAGGAGAAUUGGAGGGCAAGUUUGGUGCCGAGCAGCGCGG